rnacentral:rRNA from 1 species
AGUAAAUAGAUACCCAGGUAGUCCCAGCCGUAAACGAUGUGCGUUAGGUGUAUCGGUGACCACGAGUCACCGAGGUGCCGAAAGAGAAAUCGUGAAACGUACCGCCUGGGAAGUACGGUCGCAAGGCUGAAACUUAAAGGAAUUGGCGGGGGAGCACCACAACAGGUGGAGCCUGCGGUUUAAAUCGGACUCAACGCCGGGAAACUCACCAGAUAAGACAGCUGAAUGAUAGUCGGGCUGAAGACUCUACUUGACUAGCUGAGAGGAGGUGCAUGGCCGUCGUCAGUUCGUACUGUGAAGCAUCCUGUUAAGUCAGGCAACGAGCGAGACCCACGCCAACAGUUGCCAGCUCGUCCUCCGGGAUGGAGGGGACACUGUUGGGACCGCCUCUGCUAAAGAGGAGGAAGGAAUGGGCAACGGUAGGUCAGCAUGCCCCGAAUUAUCUGGGCUACACGCGGGCUACAAUGGGUGGGACAAUGGGUAUCGACACCGAAAGGUGAAGGCAACUCUAACCCUAAC